ACAGGUUUAGCUCAGUCGGUAGAGCACUGGUCUCCAAAACCAGGUGUCGGGAGUUCGAGUCUCUCAACCUGUGCCA
rnacentral:tRNA from 1 species